AGUGGCGGACGGGUGAGUAACGCGUGGGUAACCUGCCUCAUACAGGGGGAUAACAGUUAGAAAUGACUGCUAAUACCGCAUAAGACCACGGUACCGCAUGGUACAGUGGUAAAAACUCCGGUGGUAUGAGAUGGACCCGCGUCUGAUUAGGUAGUUGGUGGGGUAACGGCCUACCAAGCCGACGAUCAGUAGCCGACCUGAGAGGGUGACCGGCCACAUUGGGACUGAGACACGGCCCAG
rnacentral:rRNA from 1 species